rnacentral:misc_RNA from 1 species
GAUGAAGAACGCAGCGAAAUGCGAUAAGUAAUGCGAAUUGCAGAAUUUCCGUGAGUCAUCGAAUCUUUGAACGCACAUUGCGCCCCUUGGUAUCCCGAGGGGCAUGCCUGUUCGAGCGUCAUUUCACCACUCAAGCCUGGCUUGGUGUUGGGCGACGUCCCCUUUGGGGACGCGCCUCGAAACGCUCGGCGGCGUGGCACCGCCUUUAAGCGUAGCAGAAUCUUUCGCUUUGGAAGUCGGGGCCCCGUCUGCCGGAAGACCUACUCGCAAGGUUGACCUCGGAUCAGGCAGGGAUACCCGCUGAACUUAAGCAUAUCAAUAAGCGGAGGA